GGGCGGAGCUAAGUUGCUGCUGGACUGAAUUGAGGGCGCUGCUGGGAGGUGAAUCGUGGGAAUCGUCCCCCUUCCCUGGCGGGGGCCGCCCCUCCCACACGCUCCCCCAGGCCCCGCCCCCAAAGCGGCAGGAAUUUCUCACGCGGGGAACCAAGCCUGACGCGGUAACUGGCAGUAGGAGGGCUGCCAACCUCCAGGUGGCGACUGGAGACCCCUGCUUUUAUGACUGAUCUCCAGGCACACAGGCCAUUUCGCAUCCCCAGUAUUUCCAGGCAUCUCCCGACCCAGAGCUGGCAACCCUCGUGACUAGGCAGCAACAGGGAACCUCUCCCCCUGGUCAGGUUGUGCUCUGAAUCAAGUCUUCUCGCAUCUCGCACGUGUGUAUUUGGAGUUCUUUUUCCAAAUGAGCAACGCCAGCCCACCAGCAGAGAACCAGCAGCAGCCGCCGGAGGAAGAGGAGGAGGAAGUAGUUACAGAAGCCAUUCAGGACCCACAGCUGCCAGACGAAGGAAAUGUUCCCCCCACCGUAGCACCAGUGGCCUCUGAAGGGGAGCCGGGAUUGGGCCCCCACGCGCACUGCCAGGCCUGGCUCCUGGACAGGCUGGAUGACGUGUGCUAUCUUAUCUCCUGCACCAACUGGUAUUAGGCUAGUUCCUGUGGGCCCACCAGCUGCCUUCGUUGACGUGCUCACCGCACCAGACAAAUCUCUGCCCAGCUUCGUCUGCAGUGAGGACCAAAGUUCUGUCUCUUAAUAAAGGCCCGGGAAGAAAGUAGCUCCAAAA